AUGAACGCUGGCGGCGUGCCUAAUACAUGCAAGUCGAGCGAACAGACGAGGAGCUUGCUCCUCUGACGUUAGCGGCGGACGGGUGAGUAACACGUGGAUAACCUACCUAUAAGACUGGGAUAACUUCGGGAAACCGGAGCUAAUACCGGAUAAUAUAUUGAACCGCAUGGUUCAAUAGUGAAAGACGGUUUUGCUGUCACUUAUAGAUGGAUCCGCGCCGUAUUAGCUAGUUGGUAAGGUAACGGCUUACCAAGGCAUCGAUGCGUAGCCGACCUGAGAGGGUGAUCGGCCACACUGGAACUGAGACACGGUCCAGACUCCUACGGGAGGCAGCAGUAGGGAAUCUUCCGCAAUGGGCGAAAGCCUGACGGAGCAACGCCGCGUGAGUGAUGAAGGUCUUCGGAGCGUAAAACUCUGUUAUUAGGGAAGAACAAAUGUGUAAGUAACUAUGCACGUCUUGACGGUACCUAAUCAGAAAGCCACGGCUAACUACGUG
rnacentral:rRNA from 1 species